AUGCUCUCAGUGACCCUCCUCCUGCUUGGAAUGCCUCUCACCUUGAGAGAAGGUGGAGCCCAGUCAGUGGCCCAGCCUGACCGCCAUGUCACUGUCACUGAAGGACACGCUCUCGUGCUGAAAUGCAACUAUACCUAUGGUGCAACACCUUACCUCUUCUGGUACAUCCAGCAACCUGAAAAAGACCUCCAGCUCCUCCUGAAAUAUGUUCCAGGGUCAUCUGUGGUUAUAAGCAACAGAGAUUUUAAGGCUGAGUUUAAGAAGAGUGAAACCUCCUUUCACCUGCAGAAAUCCUCAGCCCAGUGGAGCGACGCGGCCAUGUACUUCUGUGCUCUGAGUGACACAGUGCCUGAGACUGCAGGGGGAGCCGAACACAAACUUCUAGAAACACAGGACUUUCUGUGA